UACAUGGGGUGCAAACGUUGCUCGGAAUUAUUGGGCGUAAAGCGCGCGUAGGCGGUUACUUAAGUCGGAUGUGAAAGCCCUCGGCUUAACUGAGGAAGUGCACCCGAAACUGAGUAGCUGGAGUACGAAAGAGGGUCGCGGAAUUCCCGGUGUAGAGGUGAAAUUCGUAGAUAUCGGGAGGAACACCGGUGGCGAAGGCGGCGACCUGGGUCGAGACUGACGCUGAGGCGCGAAAGUGUGGGGAGCGAACAGG
rnacentral:rRNA from 1 species